GGGGAGCCUGAGGUUGUAAUGAGGCAUGAGUACCUUCUUUACCACCUGCUGGAAGUUUGGAUUAUCACCAAGGACAGGAAUUGAUCAUUCUGAGUCCAGUUACCAAGGAAGGAGGUUCUAAUGACAGAGCCUGUGGCCUCAGGAAGAUGUAUUCAGAUCACGGACCAAACGGAAACCGGGUUCGGGAAACUUCCUCUCUCUGUGGCCUCCCCGGAGCGCUAUUUGAAGACCAUUACUGCUGUUAAUUAAUGAUUUGCCAGCUGUCUACACUAAUUUUAUGGCAUUUAUGUAUGCACAUGCAUUGCAUUUGAGUCCAUUUUCCCAGACUAAACCAAAUACAACGAGCGUGAAAUAUGAA
rnacentral:lncRNA from 1 species